rnacentral:rRNA from 1 species
GACGAACGCUGGCGGCGUGCCUAAUACAUGCAAGUCGAGCGAAGUUUUUCUGGUGCUUGCCCUAGAAAAACUUAGCGGCGCACGGGUGAGUAACACGUAAAGAACCUGCCUCAUAGACUGGGACAACUAUUGGAAACGAUAGCUAAUACCGUAUAACAGUAUUUCUCGCAUGUGAGAUAUUUAAAAGUUGGUUAUUCUAACAUUAUGAGAUGGCUUUGCGGUGCAUUAGCUAGUUGGUGGGGUAAAGGCCCACCAAGGCGACGAUGCAUAGCCGACCUGAGAGGGUGAUCGGCCACACUGGGACUGAGACACGGCCCAGACUCCUACGGGAGGCAGCAGUAGGGAAUCUUCCGUAAUGGGCGAAAGCCUGACGGAGCAACGCCGCGUGAGUGAAGAAGGAUUUCGGUUCGUAAAGCUCUGUUGUUAGGGAAGAAUGAAUAUGUAGUAACUAUACAUGUAAGAGACGGUACCUAACCAGAAAGCCACGGCUAACUACGUG